UACGGGGGGGGCAAGCGUUGUUCGGAAUUACUGGGCGUAAAGGGCGCGUAGGCGGCUUUUCAAGUCGGGCGUGAAAUCUCCGGGCUUAACUCGGAACGGUCAACUGAUACUGUCGGACUAGAGUGCAGAAGGGGCAACUGGAAUUCUCGGUGUAGCGGUGAAAUGCGUAGAUAUCGAGAGGAACACCUGCGGCGAAGGCGGGUUGCUGGGCUGACACUGACGCUGAGGCGCGAAAGCUAGGGGAGCGAACGGG
rnacentral:rRNA from 1 species